rnacentral:rRNA from 1 species
CAGUCGCCACGGGAAUACGUAGGUGGCGAGCGUUGUCCGGAAUUAUUGGGCGUAAAGGGAGCGCAGGCGGACAUAUAAGUCCAUCUUAAAAGUGCGGGGCUCAACCCCGUGAGGGGAUGGAAACUGUAUGCCUUGAGUGCAGGAGAGGAGAGCGGAAUUCCCAGUGUAGCGGUGAAAUGCGUAGAUAUUGGGAGGAACACCAGUGGCGAAGGCGGCUUUCUGGACUGUAACUGACGCUGAGGCUCGAAAGCCAGGGGAGCGAGCGGGAUUAGAUACCCCCGUAGUCCCUGUCUCUUAUACC